AAGCCUUUUACGCCCAGAUCUUCCAAUGAUGUCUACUCCAUUGUGGCACGAUUGUGAACACUGCUCUGCUACAGAUUAAAAUUAAAGGCCAGUCAAACCUUCAGUUAAAGAAAAUUCCUGCUGCAUGGAAAUGAAUGACAGCCAAAAACAUUAUCAUCCAGAAGAAGAAAUUCUACAAGGUGAGAGAACUUGCAGGUGCUAGUUACCCUAGCUUUUCUUGGCUAGGAGGUGGCCCAGUCUUUUGUUACUGAAUGCCAUGAUAACCAGUUCACUUAUAUUUACUCAAGUACACAUGAUGUUGCUUACACAUCCAAAAUGUGACACUCCUAGCAUGCUUCCC
ensembl:lncRNA